rnacentral:tRNA from 1 species
GGUUUAGUAUUCAAUUAUGAUUUUAAAUUGCAAAUUUAAAGGUGAGUUAAUCUCUUAAACUU